AACGAACGCUGGCGGCGUGGAUAAGACAUGCAAGUCGAACGGGAUUUCUUUCUGUCGCAAGACAGGAAGAAGUCUAGUGGCGAACGGGUGCGUAACACGUGGGCAAUCUGCCUUAAAGUGGGGGAUAGCUCGGCGAAAGCCGAAUUAAUACCGCAUGUGAUGAGAGUAGACAUCUAUUCGAAAUCAAAGCCGGGGCAACCUGGCGCUUUUUGUAGGAGCCCGCGGCCAUCAGCUUGUUGGUGAGGUAACGGCCCACCAAGGCUAUGACGGGUAGCUGGUCUGAGAGGACGACCAGUCACACUGGGACUGAGACACGGCCCAGACACCUACGGGUGGCAGCAGUCGAGAAUUUUUC
rnacentral:rRNA from 1 species